UUUCACUGUUUUUUCAUUGUUUUUAUUAUUUUCAUUGUUUUCAAUUGUUUUUAUUAUUUUUAUUGUUUGUCUUUAUUGUGUUUUUUUAUUGUUUUUUAUAGUUUUCAUUGUUUUAUUGCUUUGAUUCUUCUUAUUAUUUAUUGUUUUCAUUAUUUUUAUUGUUUCUAUCAUUUUUCGUUGUUUUUCUUAAUUUUCAUUGCUUUUAUUAUUUUUUUAUUGGUUUUAUUGUUUUAUUUUUUAUUAUUUUUAUUGCACUCAGCCCCGCCCCCAAUCGCCCCUCCCCCAUCCGCAGUGGGCGGGGCCAAACGCGGAGGGGGCGGGGCCCGGAGCGGGUAAUUAACAUUUAAUUUAACUAAAGGCACCGAGGCCACGCCCCCGCGGGAAUUCCGGGGGCGGGGAUUUAAAGAAUCCUCUGGAAGGUUCCGGAACUUCCGGGUCAGGAAUCGGCCAAACGCAGCAGGGGCCCGGCGGGCGUGGGGACACUGCGGGGUCAGAGGUCACCCAGGGGUCACCCAGGGGUCACUCAGGGGUCACCCAGGGGUCACUCAGAGGUCACCCAGGGGUCAUGGGGCCACACAGGGGCCACACAGGGGUCACUCAGGGGUCACUCAGGGGUCAGAGGGGUCACACAGGGGUCAGUACCUGAGCAGUCUCUGGUCCCCCAGCAGGUCGUGCAGCAGGAACGGGACCCCCAGCCCGGCCCCCGGGGGGGUCACACAGGGGUCACACAGGGGUCACUCAGGGGUCAGGGGUCACACAGGGGUCACACAGGGGUCACUCAGGGGUCACUCAGGGGUCA
rnacentral:lncRNA from 1 species